rnacentral:rRNA from 1 species
GGACGCAAGUCUGAACCAGCCAUGCCGCGUGGAGGAUGAAGGUCCUCUGGAUUGUAAACUUCUUUUAUCUGGGACGAAAAAGGGCCUUUCUAGGUCAACUGACGGUACCAGAUGAAUAAGCACCGGCUAACUCCGUGCCAGCAGCCGCGGUAAUACGGAGGGUGCAAGCGUUAUCCGGAUUCACUGGGUUUAAAGGGUGCGUAGGCGGGCAUGUAAGUCCGUGGUGAAAUCUCCGAGCUUAACUCGGAAACUGCCUUGGAUACUAUGUGUCUUGAAUGUUGUGGAGGUGAGCGGAAUAUGUCAUGUAGCGGUGAAAUGCUUAGAUAUGACAUAGAACACCAAUUGCGAAGGCAGCUCACUACACAAAUAUUGACGCUGAGGCACGAAAGCGUGGGGAUCAAACAGGAUUAGAUACCCUGGUAGUCCACGCCCUAAACGAUGAUUACUCGACAUACGUGAUACACAAUGUGUGUCUGAGCGAAAGCAUUAAGUAAUCCACCUGGGAAGUA